GAAAAAUAACUUUGGUGAAAUAUGCUUUGUUCUAUCUCCUUUUAUGAAUCCUCCCUUCAAUUGAGCUAUACAUGCUGCGUUGUCUUCAUACAAAGUCGUGGGUAAUGUAUUACACUUCAAACCACAUUUGUCUUGAAUAUGAUGUAUUAUAGACCUCAACCACACACAUGCCCGACUUGCUUCAUGAAUAGCAAUUAUCUCGGCAUGAUUAGAUGAAGUAGCCACAAUUGAU
rnacentral:lncRNA from 1 species